GACGAACGCUGGCGGCGUGCCUAAUACAUGCAAGUUGAGCGAUGAAGAUUGGUGCUUGCACCAAUUUGAAGAGCAGCGAACGGGUGAGUAACGCGUGGGGAAUCUGCCUUUGAGCGGGGGACAACAUUUGGAAACGAAUGCUAAUACCGCAUAACAACUUUAAACAUAAGUUUUAAGUUUGAAAGAUGCAAUUGCAUCACUCAAAGAUGAUCCCGCGUUGUAUUAGCUAGUUGGUGAGGUAAAGGCUCACCAAGGCGAUGAUACAUAGCCGACCUGAGAGGGUGAUCGGCCACAUUGGGACUGAGACACGGCCCAAACUCCUACGGGAGGCAGCAGUAAGGAAUCUUCGGCAAUGGACGAAAGUCUGACCGAGCAACGCCGCGUGAGUGAAGAAGGGUGUCGGAUCGUAAAACUCGGUUGGUAGAGAAGAACGUUGGUGAGAGUGGAAAGCUCAUCAAGUGACGGUAACUACCCAGAAAGGGACGGCUAACUACGUG
rnacentral:rRNA from 1 species